AGCAGCCGCGGUAAUUCCAGCUCCAAUAGCGUAUAUUAAAGUUGUUGCAGUUAAAAAAGCUCGUAGUUGAAUUUCGGGAUCAAUUUGCUGGUCGUGCCUCUGGUACGUACUGGUAUUAUUGGUUUCUCCCUUCUGACGAACCAUGAUGUCAUUAAUUUGAUGUCGUGGAGAAUCAGGACUGUUACUUUGAAAAAAAUUAGAGUGUUUAAAGCAGGCAUUAGCUUGAAUACAUUAGCAUGGAAUAAUGAAAUAGGACGUUUGAUCCUAUUUUGUUGGUUUCUAGGAUUGACGUAAUGAUUAAUAGGGAUAGUUGGGGGGCAUUAGUAUUCAAUUGUCAGAGGUGAAAUUCUUGGAUUUAUUGAAGACUAACUACUGCGAAAGCAUUUGCCAAGGAUGUUUUCAUUAAUCAAGAACGAAAGUUAGGGGAUCGAAGACGAUCAGAUACCGUCGUAGUCUUAACCAUAAACUAUGCCGACUAGGGAUCGGAUGAUGUUAAUUUUUUUAAUGACUCAUUCGGCGC
rnacentral:rRNA from 1 species